CAAAGUUGAUCGUGUUUAUGACGUCGAAUAUCGACGUCAUAAACACCAAAGUUGAUCGUGUUUAUGACGUCGAUUUUCGACGUCAUAAACACCAAAG